rnacentral:tRNA from 1 species
GGAAGCGUGGCAGAGUGGUUGAAUGCACCGGUCUUGAAAACCGGCAACGGGCGACCGUUCGUGAGUUCGAAUCUCACCGCUUCCG